UUGAUUUUAAUUAUUUGUGAAGGUGCUACUAAUUAACAACAAUUUUAUAAUCAAAACAAAAAAAAUCA
rnacentral:misc_RNA from 1 species